ACCGGGUGAGGGCCCUCUGGGUUCAACCUCCCACCCGUGUUUAUUUUACCUUGUUGCUUCGGCGGGCCCGCCUUAACUGGCCGCCGGGGGGCUUACGCCCCCGGGCCCGCGCCCGCCGAAGACACCCUCGAACUCUGUCUGAAGAUUGUAGUCUGAGUGAAAAUAUAAAUUAUUUAAAACUUUCAACAACGGAUCUCUUGGUUCCGGCAUCGAUGAAGAACGCAGCGAAAUGCGAUACGUAAUGUGAAUUGCAAAUUCAGUGAAUCAUCGAGUCUUUGAACGCACAUUGCGCCCCCUGGUAUUCCGGGGGGCAUGCCUGUCCGAGCGUCAUUGCUGCCCUCAAGCACGGCUUGUGUGUUGGGCCCCGUCCUCCGAUCCCGGGGGACGGGCCCGAAAGGCAGCGGCGGCACCGCGUCCGGUCCUCGAGCGUAUGGGGCUUUGUCACCCGCUCUGUAGGCCCGGCCGGCGCUUGCCGAUCAACCCAAAUUUUUAUCCA
rnacentral:rRNA from 1 species